GAUGAACGCUGGCGGCGUGCUUAACACAUGCAAGUCGAACGAAGCAUUUAGGACAGAUUACUUCGGUUGGAAGUUCUUUAUGACUGAGUGACGGAAGGGUGAGUAACGCGUGGGUAACAUGCCUUGUACUGGGGGAUAGCAGCAGGAAACGGCUGGUAAUACCGCAUAAGCGCACAAUGAUGCAUGACAUGGUGUGAAAAACUCCGGUGGUAUAAGAUGGACCCGCGUCUGAUUAGCUAGUUGGUGAGAUAACAGCCCACCAAGGCGACGAGCAGUAGCCGAGCUGGGAGGCUGCCCGGCCACAUUGGGACUGAGACACGGCCCAGACUCCUACGGGAGGGAGCAGUGGGUAAUACUGCACAAUGGAGCAAACUCUGAUGCAGCGACGCGGGGUGAGUGAAGAAGUAAUUCGUUAUGCAAUUCCCUAUCAGCAGAGGAGUUAGUGACGGUACCUGACUAAGAAGCACCGGCUAAAUACGUG
rnacentral:rRNA from 1 species